rnacentral:rRNA from 1 species
CGGGCAAGGCUAGUGCUAUACAUGCAAGUCGAGCGGACAGAUGGGAGCUUGCUCCCUGAUGUUAGCGGCGGACGGGUGAGUAACACGUGGGUAACCUGCCUGUAAGACUGGGAUAACUCCGGGAAACCGGGGCUAAUACCGGAUGCUUGUUUGAACCGCAUGGUUCAAACAUAAAAGGUGGCUUCGGCUACCACUUACAGAUGGACCCGCGGCGCAUUAGCUAGUUGGUGAGGUAACGGCUCACCAAGGCAACGAUGCGUAGCCGACCUGAGAGGGUGAUCGGCCACACUGGGACUGAGACACGGCCCAGACUCCUACGGGAGGCAGCAGUAGGGAAUCUUCCGCAAUGGACGAAAGUCUGACGGAGCAACGCCGCGUGAGUGAUGAAGGUUUUCGGAUCGUAAAGCUCUGUUGUUAGGGAAGAACAAGUACCGUUCGAAUAGGGCGGUACCUUGACGGUACCUAACCAGAAAGCCACGGCUAACUACGUGCCAGCAGCCGCGGUAAUACGUAGGUGGCAAGCGUUGUCCGGAAUUAUUGGGCGUAAAGGGCUCGCAGGCGGUUUCUUAAGUCUGAUGUGAAAGCCCCCGGCUCAACCGGGGAGGGUCAUUGGAAACUGGGGAACUUGAGUGCAGAAGAGGAGAGUGGAAUUCCACGUGUAGCGGUGAAAUGCGUAGAGAUGUGGAGGAACACCAGUGGCGAAGGCGACUCUCUGGUCUGUAACUGACGCUGAGGAGCGAAAGCGUGGGGAGCGAACAGGAUUAGAUACCCUGGUAGUCCACGCCGUAAACGAUGAGUGCUAAGUGUUUAGGGGGUUUCCGCCCCUUAGUGCUGCAGCUAACGCAUUAAGCACUCCGCCUGGGGGAGUACGGUCGCAAGACUGAAACUCAAAGGAAUUGACGGGGGCCCGCACAAGCGGUGGAAGCAUGUGGUUUAAUUCGAAGCAACGCGAAGAACCUUACCAGGUCUUGACAUCCUCUGACAAUCCUAGAAGAUAGGACGUCCCCUUCGGGGGCAGAAUGACAGGUGGGGGCAGGGGUGUCCUCACCUCUGUCCGGGAAGAUGUGGGGUUAAAUCCCGCAACGAGCGCAACCCUUGAUCUUAGUUGCCACCAUUUAGUUGGGCACCCUAAGGGGAUGCCGUGAAAACCGAGAGAGAGGGGGGGGGGGGGGGGGACAAAAUAUAUUGGCGCCCUUGUAAAGGGGGGGGGCCCCCGGGUUUAAGGGGGAGAAAAAAGGGGGGGAACCCCCGGGGGGGGGGGAUCC